CACGUAGGGUGCGAGCGUUGUCCGGAAUUAUUGGGCGUAAAGAGCUCGUAGGCGGUGUGUCGCGUCGGCCGUGAAAACCUGCAGCUUAACUGUGGGCUUGCGGUCGAUACGGGCAUCACUGGAGUUCGGCAGGGGAGAAUGGAAUUCCUGGUGUAGCGGUGGAAUGCGCAGAUAUCAGGAGGAACACCAGUGGCGAAGGCGGUUCUCUGGGCCUUACCUGACGCUGAGGAGCGAAAGCGUGGGGAGCAAACGGG
rnacentral:rRNA from 1 species